CCUACGGGAGGCAGCAGUGAGGAAUAUUGGUCAAUGGCCGGGAGGCUGAACCAGCCAAGUCGCGUGAGGGAAGACGGCCCUACGGGUUGUAAACCUCUUUUGUCAGGGAGCAAGGUGCAGGUCGGGACCUGCUUUGAGAGUACCUGAAGAAAAAGCAUCGGCUAACUCCGUGCCAGCAGCCGCGGUAAUACGGAGGAUGCGAGCGUUAUCCGGAUUUAUUGGGUUUAAAGGGUGCGCAGGCGGAGGCUCAAGUCAGCGGUAAAAUCGCGGGGCUCAACCCCGCCCCGCCGUUGAAACUGUGUGCCUUGAGUGCGCGAAGGGUAGGCGGAAUGCGUGGUGUAGCGGUGAAAUGCAUAGAUAUCACGAAGAACUCCGAUCGCGAAGGCAGCCUACCGGCGCGCAACUGACGCUGAUGCACGAAAGCGUGGGUAUCGAACAGGAUUAGAUACCCUAGUAGUC
rnacentral:rRNA from 1 species